AUAAAGAUUAGGUCCUCGUAUUCGUAAGUAUUUGGCAAACAAAAGUCAAAAUAUGUAAGGUGGAAAAGAAAGUUUACUGUCGAAAAAUACAGGAAUAAAUUUAUAUCUCUGCUGAAAACGGCAAAGUAGCAUUUAUGAUUAAUGUGAUUCGGGUGCGUUUUCUUUGGGAAGGUUUGACUCAUUUUCAAAGAGACACGUUGUGAUUUUAGACUCUCGUGUUUCGAACGGUUCGUGGCUGCAUUAUAUUUGUUCGUGAUAAGUACAGAAUUGUUGGGUUGGAACUCGGUUCCGGCUCUGUUCUUAAACCUCGGGCGCAAAGUGUUUAAAAUAAAUAAAAAACUGUAUUUAUUAUUUACUUUUAUUCAUCACGACAAGAGAGAGCAAGAAAAGCCCUCGUAAAAUAACAAAAUAAAAGCCUCGAUCCAAAACGUUGAAAAACGUAUGAGAUAUUGGUGGAAAACCAAUAAAACACAAGUGAAAUGUCCACUUGAGGAACGGGGGAAGCAAUGAGGACAUUUAAUUGUCUGUUGGGAUGGAAACCCACUGGUGAACAAACUCAAAGCCAGAAACAAGCAGAGGACAUAAUGAGAAGUGGACCCUUCAGGUCCAGAUCUUUCCUCAGCAGGUAAACUGUCCACAUCAAGACGCUCCAGAAGGUUCUGACAUUUUCCACCCGGGUUGAGGUGAUUUUUUUUCCGUUGGUUGUCCCGUUGACUGAAGGUUCAGGAGACCCUGGACGCGGGUCCAGGCGGUCUGAAGAAGGUCAGGUGGCGCCUCCUCCUCGGCCAUCGAUCGGACCGGAGAUUCUAAAAGGUCGGCUCAGCUGUUAUCGACUGGAAGUGUGCGUCUGAAAAAUCAAAGGGCCAAAUAUCGUGUUUUGUGUCUUUGUCUUUGUCUGAGACGGCUGUUUGUGUAGCGCUCAUCUUGUUGUUGUCCUUUGUUGAGUUCCUUGUGAUUUCACUCGCAGCAAGUCGGAGCUUUCCUUCAGUGAGUCGAGCCAUGCGGGCAUCAAUAGAUACAAAAAUACCAAAUGUCUUAUUGUGAAAGGUGAAAGAGGAAGUAGAUCUGUAUUAGCCGUCCCAGGAAUCGGCAUUUAUUGACUACAUUUCACAAAGUGCGGUGAGUUAUUCCACCACAUCACCACAGUUCUGUCCAGUUUAAGGUGUUUAAACUGAAUCUAACUAAUCAGAGUCAGAUCAGCAGUUAGUUGAAGGUCAAGUUGUUUUCAGAGCCUUCAUCUCACCAGCGGUAACCAGCGACUGAUGGGAGAUAAUCUCACUUCAUCAUCUCAGGAGCCGCAAGGUAAACGUGUAAAUCAGCUGUCUGCUUUUGUUCUGUUGCCACAAAAUACGAUUAUUUACUCAUUAUUUCCAAAAAUGGGGGAAGUGCGGAUUGAGAUGAACAUCCCGAUGGAAGAAGAAGGAGAAGUUCUCCACCGGCGUCGUCGCCCCGACUUCCCGUCUCCUUAUUCAUCGCCAUGGAAACGGACACACCCUUCAUUUAUGGGAUGUUCCACUCCAAAUGGACCCAGCAGCAUCUCCACACCAGGACGUCCUGCUGUGGUGGGAAACGACAGAUGCUGAUUUCAGAAGACGGAUGGAAGAGUUGUCUGCGUUAAUGAAGCUCCGCCCCCUAUAGAUCCUGGACCAGCAUGCAUCAGCCCCAUUGAUCAGGCAGCCACACUGAAGUGUUGUAAAACGCCUCACGACCUCCAGCACCGACUUGCAUGACUGGAUUAUUUCAUAUUUGAAAGGAGUAUUUGUGCGUUUGAGGAGCCUUCAACUUCAAACUGGACUCUCGUGUCCUGAGCUUCCUUUCAGUUCCCCUGUUGCAUGGCAACACGUGUUUCAUUGUGGUCUUUGUGGUCAGAUGGGGCACUUUAUCCAUGUGAAGGAGCCCAGUGGAGAAGGAGCCUGCGGGAUUCAUAGAUGGAUGGAUGACAUCUUACAUUUCACAUCAGCUUCAUCUGCCUCGAAUCCAGCAUCCGCAGCGCCGUCCAUCCUAUAAACAUUAAACACUGAAGUGAAGAACAAAUUGGAGGUUUUUAUACAUUAUUUGAGCAUUUCUUUAUCUGCUAUUUUGUACUUUUACUCCACAACAUGUCAGAAAUAAAUAAUGUUCUUUUUGCUGAAGAGUUUUUGUAGUUUUCUGUUGAUUUAUUUCAGAAAUGUGGUAUAACUGAAAUAUAGCUGACCUGUGGAAUCUUAGUGACGAACUGACGUGUUCCUUUAUGUGUAGAACGUAGUGAUAAACUGAGGUACGAAGUGUUUCUUCUCAUGAUGAUCGUCAUAAUGUCACUUCAUCUUUGUUAAAAGUGUCGGGUUUUUUUCAGCUUUAUCCGUUU